AGCUUUGUUAGUAUAGCGGUUAGUAUGCCUGCCUGUCACGCAGGAGUCCGGGGUUCGAUUCCCCGACAAAGC
rnacentral:tRNA from 1 species